CCAUCCCUCGAUCCUAUCCCAAGUGGAACAGCCGCCUCAAAUGCAAUCUCUACUACUACAGGACCAACUACUUCAUUUUGAUAGUGUUUGUUCUUGGGGUUGCAUGUCUCACAAGGCCGAUGGCUAUUCUUGCUGCUGUUUUGACAGCUUUAAGCAUUGCGUUUCUUAAUGAUAGUUUUGCGGCUACUUUCAGUGAAAAGGUAACAAGAACAGUAAGAAAGUUCUCUCCACAUUUGGCAGCAAAGAUGAGGCCUCCUCACAUGCCUGUUAUUCGUGGCCGUCCUUCAUCCAAAAAAUCAGUAUACAUCUGUGGCAAACCUCGUGGGGUGUUCGUGUUCUUAUUCUCAGCUGCCAGUUUUAUUCUGUGGUUCACUUCUGGCACUCUGAUGUUUGUUUUAUGGGCAUUUGGCAUCAGCCUCCUUGUUACUGUUCUUCAUGCAAGUGUCAGAACGCCUAAUCUGAAGGCACGCCUCAACACAUUCCGGGAAGAAUUUCGUGCUGUGUGGCGUAAUUAUAGCGAGCUUUGACUGGUUAUAAAGUUAAAAGGUACCACUGUAUUAGGAUGUGUGCAGUCGUGAUUCGCACCUUGAAUUUCAGUUAUGCUGCAAGUAUUCUUUGUAAAUAUA
rnacentral:misc_RNA from 1 species